rnacentral:RNase_P_RNA from 1 species
AGCUGGUAGCGGAUAGUUGCUUCCGCCUUAGGCGGAGGAGGAAAGUCCGAACACUUACUUCUCCUUCGGGAGAUUUAAAAGGGUAGUGGGUAACACCCACCGGGAGCAAUCCUAGAGGUGCGAACAGUGACGAAUCUUCGUUUUGUUUAGGGCUUGCCCUGAGCGAAGUCGAAGGGUGAAACGGCUAAAUCCUUAUCUAAGUGCAAGGCCGUGUCCCGCCCCCACACGUGAGUGGCGGGAAGUGCCGCUCGAGCCCGAGCGUAAGCGAGGGCCCAGAUAAAUAACUAUCGAUAACAGAAUUCGGCUUAUAGCUACCAGCACCAA